rnacentral:lncRNA from 10 species
CAGGUGCCGGAUAUCAUCUCGUGAAAUUCUAUGGCAGUACUGGCUGUGCCUGAGAAACCUCCUGCCACUCAAGCCCAGCAAGUCUUAUGAAGCAAGCUGCCUACAGAAAUGUCCAUGUGUCAGGAAACUGAAGCUGGCUCAUGGUCAGCAGCCAGCAAGCUACAAAGGGCUUCCAACAGCCCAUGAAGCACUGAGUCCUGCCAAAAGCCACGUGCAUGAGCUUAGAAGAGCUUCAUCCUCCAGGCUAGGAAAGAGACAGUCGGUGUGCAGCAAGAGAAAAGAGAGGAGGAAACAUGUGGAAAGACCCAAAGAAUGAAGACACAAGAGCAUGCCUGAAUGCAAUGGGAAGUAGAUCAGUUGACCUUUGCUGAAUAACAAGGUGGACCUAAAACUGGGUGACUUGAAACAGCACAGGCAAAACGUGGCCCUCUGCGAGCAAGGAAUGGGGUUUCAUGAAGAACCACUUCUGCUGACACCUUGAUCUUGAACUUCCAGCCUCCAGAGCUGUGAGAAAUAAAUAUCUAUUGUUUAAACCAUCCAUUGCAAGGUAUUUGAUGAUAGCAGCCCUAGCUGACUAGUACAUGGUCCUCAGAAUAAUUAGUAAAGCAAAACUGUUUGGCUGGGACUUCCUCCACUGUGUGUAUUUCCAG